rnacentral:sRNA from 1 species
UUUUGGUUGAAGCUACUCGCCGUCGACUUCUGUAACA